CAGCAGCCGCGGUAAUACGUAGGGUGCAAGCGUUGUCCGGAAUUAUUGGGCGUAAAGAGCUCGUAGGCGGUUUGUCGCGUCUGCUGUGAAAUCCCGAGGCUCAACCUCGGGCUUGCAGUGGGUACGGGCAGACUAGAGUGCGGUAGGGGAGAUUGGAAUUCCUGGUGUAGCGGUGGAAUGCGCAGAUAUCAGGAGGAACACCGAUGGCGAAGGCAGAUCUCUGGGCCGUAACUGACGCUGAGGAGCGAAAGCGUGGGGAGCGAACAGGAUUAGAUACCCGUGUAGUCCCUGUCUCUUAUAC
rnacentral:rRNA from 1 species